rnacentral:lncRNA from 1 species
AAUACCGUUGCAACUGUUUGGGUGACUUUCCUACUUAUUGAAGACGUCAAGCCUCACUGACCGAAGAAGCUCAAGACGGCGUGUUACAUCACAAUACAUGGUGCUCGGGGACUAGCUGUGGGGGUAUAAACCCCUAUACCCUCGUGGGCCUAUAUGGGCCGCACCAUCAGAGGUGGCUCGGCCCACAGGAUGAAGACGUGCGGCGCACGACUAGUCGGCGUGCACCGCAAGGCUACAAGAUAUUGUACCAAAUAGGAUACUUUGCUUGUACCUCUGUCCCUUCACGAUAUAUAAGGAGGGGCAGGGGUCCCCUAGAGGACAGAUCAUACAUCAUUAUUCUCUCAACACAAAUCAAUACAACCAGACGCAGGACGUAGGUAUUACGCCAACUUGGCGGCCGAACCUGGAUAAAAAGCUUGUCCGUGUCUUGCGUCACCAUCGAGUUCGUAGUUUGCGCACCGUCUACCGAUAAACUACUACCGUGGGUAUACCCCCAAGGUAGACUGCCGACCAGCUUUCGUCGACAUUGACCCUUAUAUUGUUUUCAAGGCUCCGCAGGCAGUGUGGACAGCAGCUCAUGAGACAGAAGUCUGCAGCAAUCUUAUGAGGUUCUUUGUGAACCAAAAAAAAAUAAAAAAUACUCUUCCCCUUCAACUUCGAGUGAGUUAUAUAGUUAUUAAGUGCAUGCAUAUUUUAUUUUACUUAUUAUUACUCGAGACAAGUUUUAUAUAGUUAUAUAUAGGCCUGACUAUAUAUAUGUAAACAGCUUUCACUGGAUACUCAUGGUCAUUGAAAUUCCCAAGAACCGAUUGAUAAUCUUUGACUCAAUGAGGAAACCACAAGAAAAUUAUCAACAAAUGGUAAACAUUAUUCAAAGGUACGUAAUGUCGAUCUCAGCUAGAAGAAUAUCAUAAUAUGACUCUGUAAUUAUUAGUUCACGAUCCACAAUGGCUGUGUGUAGGGUUUGGGAAAGAUUCAUUGACCGUGAACAUCUCAGUGGAUGUAAAGCGCCGCUUAAUAUAAUUCAUCCACAAGUAAGUUUUACUAGCUAGCAAACUUUCGCUAACUUUUAGCCUUCUUAUUGUCGUGGUCGUGAAUAUUAUAUAUAUAUAUCAUACAGUGGUGUUUAAGACAAGAAGGGGGAACAAUCUAUGUGCAUAUUACGUGUGCAAAUUCAUGAUGGCACAAGUCAAUCAAACACCCACAGAGACGCUCAAAGUACGUUACAUGUAUCUUUUCAUUAUCUCCUAAAUUAUAUUGAAUAACUUAGAUAACUAAUACCUUUUUUAUUUAUUUUAAAUUAAAGACAGAAUGGUUGAGGGAAAAGGUCAUACAAAAAGACCGAAUCAAAGUUAUCCAAGAGACGAUAGCAGGAUUUCUCCGCGAGCAAAUGAUCAAUCCAAACGGCGAGUUUGACUUCAACGGCAACGAAAUUCUUAUUCCAAACAACGAUGAUCAUUUGUAUCGUUUGUAGACAUUGGGUGAAAAAACUCUAUGUAUAUAUGUGUUACGAAUUUUGUACAUAUAAAACUAUUUAUAUAAAAAGCUUUUUACAUAUCUAUUUAAUUUUUUAUGUGGCCUAUUCAUUUUAUUAUAGGCAAAGCUUAAUUAUUAAGCCAAACCUAUAAUUUUCAUUUAUAUAUGCUUAAUAUGCGUGUAAUAUAAAUAUAUUAUUGUAUCAGAAAAACAUGUAUUGAAAAACCUAUUAUUAUUAUAUAAAAACAAUAAUAAACAGAACCGAAGAUGUGAACCAAAAAAAACCCUAGCAACGGGUCCUGCAACGUGGCAGCCCUGGCAGAAAAGGGGGGCUUUAGCCCCGGUUCCCCGAACCGGGACUAAAGAAUAGAUUUAGUCUCGGAUGGGCAGCACCGGCUCGGAAACCGGGGCAACAGGACCCCUUUGUAGACGUUAUCACAGAUUGACAAGCCUAGGCGCUCCUGUGGGCGGGAAAAAAAUAUUUCUCUGCUGGCAGAUGUUUAUUGGCC